CCCGAUGCCGAGGCGGUGCCCGAUGCUGUUCUGGAGGCCAAGGCGGUGCCCGAUGCCGAGGCGGUGCCCGAUGCGGUUCCGGAGGCCGAGGCGGUGCCCGAUGCUGUUCCGGAGGCCGAGGCGGUGCCCGAUGCUGUUCCGGAGGCCGAGGCGGUGCCCGAUGCUGUGCCGGAGGCCGAGGCGGUGCCCUAUGCCAAGGCGGUGCCCGGUGCUGUUCCGGAGGCCGAGGCGGUGCCCGAUGCUGUUCCGGAGGCCGAGGCGGUGCCCGAUGCUGUUCCGGAGGCCGAGGCGGUGCCCGAUGCUGUUCCGGAGGCCGAGGCGGUGCCCGAUGCCGUGCCCGAGAUGGUUCCCGAGGCUGUUCCCGAUGUGGUGCCCAAGGCCGAGGCGGGGUCCACAGGCCGACCAGAGCAUCUUCACGUCUCCACAGGCCGUCCAGAGCAUCUUCACGUCUCCACAGGCCGUCCAGAGCACCUUCACGUCUCCACAGGGGCCCCGGAGUGGCAGGUUCCGUCCUGGCCGCUCAAAUGGCGGGUUCUUCCCUGGCCGUCUGCACAACCUGAACUUUCGGGUCCACCCUGGUCCCCUAAACUGACUGAUCCACCUUGGCUACCGGUGGAGCCAUCGCUUCCUGUCCCGGUUCCCCUACAUGGGCCUGGCCCUCCAUCCCUCCCCCUGUU
ensembl:lncRNA